rnacentral:lncRNA from 10 species
GUGCGCUGGGAUCCUAACACUCGGGUGGCCGAGAGGGCGAUGUGGCUGAGGCAACAGGGAAAGGGGGCUGGACUGGGCUGGGGGCUGGAGGAGGGGCCAGUCCCGAGGGGACGGGGCUCCAACCUCACCUUCCUGCUGUCGUGGAGAAGAAAAGUGGUAAUGACCGCUACUGUGCACUGGGCUCUCGCUCUGUGCUUUGCUUGUGUUUGCUCAGUUAAUCCUCCCAACAUGCCUCUAAGCCACCUAUGGGCAACAAGGUCUCCAAGGAAACUCCAGAACAUUCUGUGGGUUUCAGUGGUUACCUGCUGAGGCGGCAUUGGGCAUGGAGCAUCCGAGGGUCCAAGCUUUCCCCUGAGAGGCCUCACACUUGAACUUAGAGGAAGAGUGAGUGGCCCUGGAGCUGGGCCUUCCAGUAGGAGCAGGGUUUCUGCAGGGAAGCAGAGAGAGGAGCCCGGGAGAAGGCACACGGGUUCUUCUCAGCCACCGUCAACAACCCCAGCUGCUACCAAGGUGCAAGAACACACAGGCUGCUGUGAAAGGACUGUAGGGGGCAAGGGCAGAGGAAGGGGCCAGCCAGGAGGCUUCCAAAAUAAUCCAGGCAGGAGAGGAUGGUGGCCUGGACAAGGGUGGCAGGUGGAGGAAACUGGCUGGAUUCCAGAAAUUCUCCCAUUUCGGCACCCAGACUCCAUGCAGAGUAGAAAUGGAUGCUCUUGGCUGGGUGCGGGGGCUUGUGCCUGUCAUCCCAGCACUUUGGGAGGCUGAGGCAGGUGAAUCAUGAAGUCAGGAGAUCGAGACCAUCCUGGCUAAUACAGUGAAACCCUGUCUCUACUAAAAAUACAAAAAAUUAGCCGGGUGUGGUGGCACGCGCCUGUAGUCCCAGCUACUCAAGAGGCUGAGGCAGGAGAAUCGCUUGAACCAGGGAGGCGGAGGUUGCAGUGAGCUGAGAUCAGGCCACUGCACUCCAGCCUGGGUGACAGAGAGAGACUCUGUCUCAAAAAAAAAAAAAAAAAGAUGCUCUUGAAUUUGAGUUCUGAAAUUUUGCAUCCUGUUCCCCAUGUGGCGGCCCAGCCAUUUUUCCCUUAGGGUGAGUGGGCCUGUGAAACCAGGAGAGCGCUGCUGUGCGUCUAGUCGUCGGGGGCAUAUUGAUCGAUUUAUUUGACCCUCUGCAGGAGGUGUGCUGAAUGUCCCAUUCCCCGGUGCUGCCAGCUCCUCAGAGCUCUGUAGGUUACCCCGUGAGACCUUCUCCCUGCACGCCUUUUUUUCUCUAAUAGAAAUACCUGCUACCUGUUGCCUUCUUCCCUGCAGGAUCACAAGCGCUUGCCCAGUGCCUGGCAUAGAGGCGGCCAUAGCUGGACUCCUACCCUGUUCCAGAUGAGGAAACUGCCGCUCAGAGACGGCAGCCGACCCAGCCAAGGCCGCACAGCCAGGAUUCAAAGCCAUACCGCUCAGCUCCUGCCUCCAGGCUCUGCCUUUGCAUGUGGCUUCUCCUGGCUCCUGGACCCUUCCCCGGCCCUCCCAGCUGGCUGUGCUGUGACAGUGGGCGGGGGAGUGCCAAGGCUCUGCCCUGCCCCCCGCCCUUGGCAUCUCCGGUCAAUAUGGCACUCACAGCUCCCUGGGCAUGGACCCCCUCCUGCCAUCCCCACUUAAAGUGAUACUUUAAUAAAUUAUGCUUUUAUGUUAUUACACGUGGAGCUAUAAAAGCAGAGAGUGUGCGGCCGGGCUGAGGUAAGGCGCCCGCGACUUUCCAAUUUCCUGGUCUGGCCUGGCUCUGCUCCGCACCGUGAAUUUUUCAUUAAUGUGCACAGGUGACGCCACGGGGCAGCCGCAGGCCAGGUAGGCUCCCACGGCGGCAAGGCCUGGGCUGGACCUUGCUGGGCUGGGCUGGGCUGGGGAUGGCACAGCGGGUUUUGUACCAACAAGGAUUAGAAAUAGCAUCACGCUGCGGCUCAAGAUCAUGCCCUGGAUUUAAAUAGCCAGGGCGGCCAGGCACAGUGGCUCACGCCUGUAAUCCCAGCACUUUGGGAGUCCAAGGCAGAAGGAUCUCUCCAGCCCAAGAGUUCAAGGGCAGCCUGGUUAACAUAGCGAGACCCUGUCACUACAAAAAAUUUUUAAAAAUUAGCUGGGCAUGGUGGCAUGUGCCUGCAGUCCCAGCUACUCGGGAGGCUGAGGUGGAGGGAUGGCUUGAGCCUGGGAGUUGAGGUUGCAGUGAGCUAGGAUCACACCACUGCACUCCAGCCUGGGCGACACAGCAAGACCCUGUCUCAAAUAAACAAACAAAUAAGCACACACAAGAACUAGAAACCCCCUGUGUCUAGAGGAAGGAAGGGGCGUCCACUGGCCUGUGCCAGACUCUGGGCCGGCGUUUGUUGCACAUGACCUCAUUUCACCCUCAGAAGGCCAUGAGAUAGCCUUAUGCACCCCACUUGAUGGAUGAGGAAAGUGGGGCUCUGUUGGUGAGUGAGUGGCGGUGUCAGCUCUGAACCCAGCCAGUCUGAUUCUAGAACCUGAGUUCCUAACUGCUAGGCUGUUCUCAUUCAUUCCUUUCUCCCUCCUCUUCUCCCCCACGUCUGUGGGUCCUUUCCAUGUAGUCAUAGUUACAGAGGCAAUGGACACAUUGAAGAGAGGAAAGAAAACAAACACGACCUAGAAUCUACGGGGAAGGAAGCCUUCUAGACUCCAGACCUUCCGUGUCCAGAAGUGUCAGUCUUCACAUCUGUGAGGUGGGGCCAAGGAGUCCUGCCCUGCCAUGCUGGGUGUUGACUUCGGGGAAGGGGCCUUGGGAUGUCUAUGAGGAUGCAGCUGCUGCCUUCUGUCUUGGCAGAGACCAUGGCCACCCCAGGACACCGUGUUUGGUCCCCGCUGUGCUAAGUCUCCUCCAGGCACCAGCCAGGCAUCAGUGGAGCACAGCGGAAAUGGGUCCAAAGCCACCCACAGAGGCUCUGUGUGGUUCUUGGAUAAUUCUGGAAGGCUCUAGAGAAGGCAACAAGAAGGCAGGAACCCAGGGCCAGAAACUGGACAACUUGUGUGUGUUUGUCUGUAAAGUGGGGCUAGGAAUCCGCGUGGGGGUCAAAUGAGAACAGCUCUGCCUCCCAGCGCACAGUCCCGCGUCGAGGUCAGAGAGCCUCUUAGGCCCUGGCUCUUUUGGGAAAUCAUCCCAGGGGCUAAAGACAAAACUGAAGUUGAAAUAAACAUGGGGGUCCAAACACUCCAGAAUUCUGAGUGAGGGAAUCUCCUCCCAGGCUUCCACGCCAGGCCCGAAUGCAAACAAGAGGCAGCAGGGGUGGCUUGGGCCCCUCACACAGAAUUAGUGAGAUUAGCUGAGAACCAGAGCCCAGCAGAUGUCCCCUCUCUGGACUCGGUGACUCACUUGCCUCCCUGGUUGAGAAUCGUAUCCGGCUGGGCCUGAGCUGUCCUGGCUGGCGGGGAGCUGGACGCAGGGCAGAGGUCGGGGUAAACACCCGUGCUCCAGGCGGGAGGUCGGGAUGGGGGUGGUGACAAGGAGGACAACAUUUCCACUCAGCAGAAAGAAGAGCCUGAGCUGCCCUAGAGCCGGAGGCGCUGCCUGGAGAGGUCGUGAGGACCCGGUCCCAGAGGUGUGCAAGCUGGGUACCCUUUGAAGACUAUAGGAGGAUUCCAGUUGGCGCUGGGAGUACUCCAGGCAGGAUGCCAGUUCAGGUCCUUCGUGCAUGAGACUCUCCCAGAGAGGCAGGCAAACAUUUUCUGGGAAGGGCCAGAUAGUAAAUAUUUCAGGUUUUGCGGGUCAUCCUGCUAUCUCUGUUGCAACUGCUCAACUCUGCCACUGUAGCUUGGAAGCAGCUACAGACAAUACAUAAAUGAAUGGAUGUGGG